UACGGGGGGGGCAAGCGUUGUUCGGAAUUACUGGGCGGAAAGGGCGCGUAGGCGGCCUGCUAAGUCGGAUGUGAAAUCCCUCGGCUCAACCGAGGAACUGCAUCCGAUACUGGCGGGCUUGAAUCCGGGAGAGGGAUGUGGAAUUCCAGGUGUAGCGGUGAAAUGCGUAGAUAUCUGGAGGAACACCGGUGGCGAAGGCGGCAUUCUGGACUGUAACUGACACUGAUGAACGAAAGCCAGGGGAGCAAACGGG
rnacentral:rRNA from 1 species